GCCAGGGUAGCCAAGGUGGUCACGGCACAGGUCUGAAAAACCUGGGAUAUCGGUUCGACUCCGAUCCCUGGCA
rnacentral:tRNA from 1 species